GGAGGGGUGGGUGAGUGGCUUAAACCAGCAGUUUGCUAAACUGCCGUACUGGAAACGGUACCGGGGGUUCGAAUCCCCCCUCCUCCG
rnacentral:tRNA from 8 species